UCUUGUUUGCACAUUUUGUCUUUGUUAUUUUCGCAUGCUCCUUUGAAACUUUUUGUGCAUGGAUGUGAAACUCUUCACUGGAGCAUACGGCGAUAACGAAAACAAGGUGUGCAUAUAAACUUU
rnacentral:pre_miRNA from 1 species